UGAUUUGGGGGCACCCUGACCGCAACUGCCGCUCUGAGUGAAGAAGGCCUUCGGGUUGUAAAGCUCUUUUGUCAGGGAAGAAACACCGGCUCUAACACAGUCCGGGAAUGACGGUACCUGAAGAAUAAGCACCGGCUAACUACGUGCCAGCAGCCGCGGUAAUACGUAGGGUGCGAGCGUUAAUCGGAAUUACUGGGCGUAAAGCGUGCGCAGGCGGUUAUACAAGACAGGCGUGAAAUCCCCGGGCUUAACCUGGGAAUGGCGCCUGUGACUGUAUAGCUAGAGUGUGUCAGAGGGGGGUAGAAUUCCACGUGUAGCAGUGAAAUGCGUAGAUAUGUGGAGGAAUACCAAUGGCGAAGGCAGCCCCCUGGGAUAACACUGACGCUCAUGCACGAAA
rnacentral:rRNA from 1 species